UACGGAGGGUGCAAGCGUUAAUCGGAAUUACUGGGCGUAAAGCGCACGCAGGCGGUCUGUCAAGUCGGAUGUGAAAUCCCCGGGCUCAACCUGGGAACUGCAUCCGAAACUGGCAGGCUAGAGUCUUGUAGAGGGGGGUAGAAUUCCAGGAGUAGCGGUGAAAUGCGUAGAGAUCUGGAGGAAGACCGGUGGCGAAGGCGGCCCCCUGGACAAAGACUGACGCUCAGGUGCGAAAGCGUGGGUAGCAAACAGGAUUAGAUACCCUGGUGGUCCACGCCGUAAACGAUGUCGACUUGGAGGUUGUGCCCUUGAGGCGUGGCUUCCGGAGCUAACGCGUUAAGUCGCCCGCCUGGGGAGUACGGCCGCAAGGUUAAA
rnacentral:rRNA from 1 species